AAACUUCUGAAGGUUCCGAAACGUUUUUCUUACCUCUUCAAACCCAGUGGAUUUUCAGAUGUCAAGGAGAUCUGUGGUAAUUCAGUGACCACCAGGGGGCAUCAGGAUCUCUGGGUGUCCUGAAUAACCAAGCCUGCACUGAAUAAGGAUGAGGAUGCAGCAUUCAGUGCCACAAAUGAUGUUAUGGAUUAUGGCAAGAAUAAAGAAGCUUUUAAAGGCAUGUCCAUCAACUUUUUCUGAGAGAAAAGAGCCUUGAAGCCGUGCAUUCCUGUUGCUUCCUGUUCUUCGCCUUCCUCCUUUAUCCCACGUGGGACAUAAUACAGACUGAG
ensembl:lncRNA